GAUGAACGCUGGCGGCGUGCCUAAUACAUGCAAGUCGAACGAAUCUUCUUCGGAAGAUGAGUGGCGAACGGGUGAGUAAUACAUAGGUAACCCGCCCCUGUGCGGGGGAUAACAGGAGGAAACUCCUGCUAAUACCGCAUAGCCAUGAGCACCGCAUGGAGCUCAUGCCAAAUAUCCUUUCGGGGAUAGCGCAGGGAUGGACCUAUGGCGCAUUAGCUGGUUGGCGGGGCAACGGCCCACCAAGGCAACGAUGCGUAGCCGGCCUGAGAGGGCGGACGGCCACAUUGGGACUGAGACACGGCCCAGACUCCUACGGGAGGCAGCAGUAGGGAAUUUUCGGCAAUGGGGGAAACCCUGACCGAGCAACGCCGCGUGAGCGAAGAAGGCCUUCGGGUCGUAAAGCUCUGUUGUAAAGGAAGAACGGCGCAUACAGGAAAUGGUAUGCGAGUGACGGUACUUUACCAGAAAGCCACGGCUAACUACGUGCCAGCCGCCGCAGUAAGAC
rnacentral:rRNA from 1 species